CAACAGUGUACAGAAGGUUGGAUGUUGAUUCUGCUGACUGUCCAAUAUAAUGCAUGAGAAAAAUCGCAGGCCCACCUAACAGACUUUAAUGGGCCACCCAGGGGUGUUAAAUCGCCCCAGAACUUGCAAGCCUCUCUGCGCUAUCCGGUCCAGCACAGGAGCCCUGCUGGAGACGCCUUUCCUCCUGGAGCCCCUGUCAAAAUCUCUGCAACAGAUCAGCCCGAGAUCCCCUCUCAUAGACAGAUGAAAGUCUGCUACCGAUCCUUCACCUCUCACCUUCCCUGCAAUCAUCUCAUUCCCCUCAGCCGAUUUUCCCCAGGUUUGCCCACCUCCUCACCUGCAUCUCAUUCCUCAUUAGUCCCUCAGUACUUAUACAGCCCCAACUUCAUUCACUUUUUGUUUGUUUGUGUAGUGUGCAUUGCCUACCUUUCCAGUAGACAGUUUUGCUUGAGAUUUGGUCUUUACAGGAAGAUAGAAAUAGACAUUCAACUAAAAAUGAGCUGAACAAAGAUUGGUAAAAAUAAACAUACAACUAAUACACAUACAAGUAGGUGAAAAUGCAUAAUAAUGCAGGUGUUGUCUAUGAUAAGGUCCCUAUUAUUUCAGUUGAUAUGAUUUAGUAGUUCACCUAAUGCACAAGCUACAUGUACAUACACCGACGCCCACAAACCAAGAACCUGACCACUGUUUUCUUCAUGAGAGAGCAGAGGGCAUAAAGUCCUAAACACACUUCCUCAUGUGUAUUUUCUUUGAGCGUUGGUUGAAA